CAGAGGGUGCGAGCGUUGUUCGGAAUUACUGGGCGUAAAGGGCGCGUAGGCGGCCCGCUAAGUCGAACGUGAAAUCCCCGAGCUCAACUCGGGAACUGCGUCCGAUACUGGCGGGCUUGAAUCCGGGAGAGGGAUGCGGAAUUCCAGGUGUAGCGGUGAAAUGCGUAGAUAUCUGGAGGAACACCGGUGGCGAAGGCGGCAUCCUGGACCGGCAUUGACGCUGAGGCGCGAAAGCUAGGGGAGCAAACGGGAUUAGAUACCCCGGUAGUCCUAGCCCUAAACGAUGAAUGCUUGGUGUGGCGGGUAUCGAUCCCUGCCGUGCCGAAGCUAACGCAUUAAGCAUUCCGCCUGGGGAGUACGGUCGCAAGGCUG
rnacentral:rRNA from 1 species